rnacentral:rRNA from 1 species
AACGAACGCUGGCGGCAGGCUUAACACAUGCAAGUCGAACGCCCCGCAAGGGGAGUGGCAGACGGGUGAGUAACACGUGGGAACAUGCCCAAAGGUACGGAAUAUUCUCGGGAAACUGAGAGCAAUACCGUAUGUGCCCGAAAGGGGAAAGAUUUAUCGCCUUUGGAUUGGCCCGCGUCGGAUUAGCUAGUUGGUGGGGUAAAAGCCUACCAAGGCGACGAUCCGUAGCUGGUCUGAGAGGACGACCAGCCACACUGGGACUGAGACACGGCCCAGACUCCUACGGGAGGCAGCAGUGGGGAAUCUUGGACAAUGGGCGCAAGCCUGAUCCAGCCAUGCCGCGUGGAUGAUGAAGGCCCUAGGGUUGUAAAAUCCUUUCGUUGGGGACGAUGAUGACGGUACCCAAAGAAGAAGCUCCGGCUAACUUCGUG